AACGAACGCUGGCGGCAGGCCUAACACAUGCAAGUCGAACGCCGUAGCAAUACGGAGUGGCAGACGGGUGAGUAACGCGUGGGAACAUACCCCUCGGUUCGGAAUAACUUAGGGAAACUUGAGCUAAUACCGGAUACGUCCGAGGUUUUAACCGGCCUCGGAGAAAGAUUUAUCGCCGGAGGAUUGGCCCGCGUCUGAUUAGCUUGUUGGUGAGGUAAUGGCUCACCAAGGCGACGAUCAGUAGCGGUCUGAGAGGAUGAUCAGCCACAUUGGGACUGAGACACGGCCCAAACUCCUACGGGAGGCAGCAGUGGGGAAUAUUGGACAAUGGGCGAAAGCCUGAUCCAGCCAUGCCGCGUGA
rnacentral:rRNA from 1 species